CUUGAGCCACGAGAAGUUCAACCGGAGAAUUAUCCUUAUUUGGUAAAGUGGUUUGACGCCAAGAAAGAAAACGAUGUGGUCAAAGAAAGUUUCAUGAGUUUUCUUGCCGGGAAUACGGAUGGAAAUAAAUCGAGAUCAUCAUGAAAGAGGCUGUCAGCUUUUUCUCGGAGAUGCGAAGCCUUUUCUUCUAUCAAAAACCCAGAGUGCUCCAGUAAUUGGAUCCAAGUCUUUGGAGAUUGUGCUUCCUCUUUCGCAUGUCUUACAGCUUGCUGCAAUGUUCCCAGAGCUUCAGUCAGUGCUGCAGCUUGUUCAGUGGCAAGAGCUUCAGCUUGUUGUCGGGCAGUAGCUGCAGACUGUGCCACUUCAUUUUUCUCAUCGGUCAAUUUCAAUAGCAGUUC